rnacentral:rRNA from 1 species
UAGAGGAAGUAAAAGUCGUAACAAGGUCUCCGUUGGUGAACCAGCGGAGGGAUCAUUACCGAGUUUACAACUCCCAAACCCAAUGUGAACCAUACCAAACUGUUGCCUCGGCGGGGUCACGCCCCGGGUGCGUCGCAGCCCCGGAACCAGGCGCCCGCCGGAGGGACCAACCAAACUCUUUCUGUAGUCCCCUCGCGGACGUUAUUUCUUACAGCUCUGAGCAAAAAUUCAAAAUGAAUCAAAACUUUCAACAACGGAUCUCUUGGUUCUGGCAUCGAUGAAGAACGCAGCGAAAUGCGAUAAGUAAUGUGAAUUGCAGAAUUCAGUGAAUCAUCGAAUCUUUGAACGCACAUUGCGCCCGCCAGUAUUCUGGCGGGCAUGCCUGUCCGAGCGUCAUUUCAACCCUCGAACCCCUCCGGGGGGUCGGCGUUGGGGAUCGGGAACCCCUAAGACGGGAUCCCGGCCCCGAAAUACAGUGGCGGUCUCGCCGCAGCCUCUCCUGCGCAGUAGUUUGCACAACUCGCACCGGGAGCGCGGCGCGUCCACGUCCGUAAAACACCCAACUUCUGAAAUGUUGACCUCGGAUCAGGUAGGAAUACCCGCUGAACUUAAGCAUAUCAAUAAGCGGAGGA